UAGUUGAAGCCAAAAAGAGGCCUAUUAUUGUUAAUAAUAUAAAUGAGACUUAAAUCUCCAAUUAAG
rnacentral:tRNA from 1 species